GUGCUCACUUCAGAAGCAAAUGUACUAAAAUUGGAAAAACCCAGAGAAGAUUAGCAAGGUCCUUGCACAAGGAUGACAUAUAAAUUCAUGAAGCAUUCUAUAUUUUU
ensembl:snRNA U6 U6 spliceosomal RNA